rnacentral:rRNA from 1 species
UACGAAGGGGGCUAGCGUUGUCCGGAAUCACUGGGCGUAAAGGGCGCGUAGGCGGCCUGAUAAGUCGGGGGUGAAAUCCUGUGGCUUAACCACAGGGCUGCCUCCGAGACUGUCGGGCUCGAGCACAGUAGAGGCAGGUGGAAUUCCCGGUGUAGCGGUGGAAUGCGUAGAGAUCGGGAAGAACAUCGGUGGCGAAGGCGGCCUGCUGGGCUGUUGCUGACGCUGAGGCGCGGACAGCGUGGGGAGCAAACAGG